UACGUAGGGGGCAAGCGUUGUCCGGAUUUAUUGGGCGUAAAGAGCUCGUAGGCGGCUUGUCGCGUCGACUGUGAAAACCCGCGGCUCAACUGUGGGCUUGCAGUCGAUACGGGCAUGACUGGAGUUCGGCAGGGGAGACUGGAAUUCCUGGUGUAGCGGUGAAAUGCGCAGAUAUCAGGAGGAACACCGGUGGCGAAGGCGGGUCUCUGGGCCGAUACUGACGCUGAGGAGCGAAAGCGUGGGGAGCGAACAGG
rnacentral:rRNA from 1 species